rnacentral:tRNA from 1 species
GUUUCUGUGGCUUAGCUGGUUAAAGCACCGGUCGAGCGCAUUCGGAGUCGUGGGUUUAAAUCCCACCAGAACG